CGCUGAGCGCUAGUUUUUCCAUUGGCAGAACGCCGGGCGGAGGGUUUGAUUGCAAAGCACUUAAUUACUAAGAUCAGUUUGCUGGAACAUAUUGAAAAAAAAAAAAAAAACAAACAAAAAGAAUAAGUGCAAGCAAAACCGGAAAAAGCAAAGAGCCAUUUUACGGAUGCGGUCAUAUCAACAAGCACUGUCUUGAAGAGGAGGUUCAUUCGGACUCGGAGGAGGACUCGGUGGUCCCACUGUCCAUGUGGCAUCAGAGAGUGGAGCCCCUGCAGUGAUAGACAGCAUGCUGCAAAAGGGAUGUAUCUUGGGCUUAUCUUGAGAAAGGAUUGGAAAACGCAGAUGGUAUUCGGUGAGUCCCUGUGGACGACCGCCUUGUUUCCACUGGAAUUGCGGGAUGCUAACGGUGCCACAUGCAAAGAGACAGGCCCCCGCUGCGCAGCACAGAAAAGGGCCCAGAGUCGACCAGCCGAGCUAUUUUUAUUGCUCGUUUUUGAACGUGUGAAUUUGGCAGCGGCUGAUGGUCGCUCUGCUGUCAUCGGGUCUGAUGAACUGGAGACUGCAGAUGAGCGGAUUGUGACUGACAGCGUUGAUCACAGUGAGCCGAAAUCUGCAGUGUUAAGGCCAGUCCUCAUCGCUGUGUGGCACCACAUGUUUUUUUUCCUAACGGAGAUUGGAGGAUGAUGGGUUUAAGGCUGCGGUAUGAUGAACUCUGACCCAAGCCUUUUUGCAUUUUUUUCUUUUUUUAUUAUUUAUAAUGUAUAUUUUGCUCCUUGUGUGUGCAUGUGUGUGUGUGUGUGUGUGUGUGUGUUUGGUGCUGCUACCCUGUGACGGAUUGCUGUCCCCUCAAGACUGUAUCCUGACUAGUGCCCCCCCUGUUUCUGGAAUGGGCUCUGGACCACUGCGACCCUAAGCCAUUAGUGAUAGUGUGAGUAAUUGAUUUAUUUAGCUGAUGCUUUUCCCCACAGCAUCGUACAGGGUAAAGUUACUUACAGUUACUCAUUCACACACCUGGGUAAUUUCUACUGGAACAAUUCAGCUUCCUACCUUGCUUAAAGGAUGCUCUAUCAGCAUGUGGGAUCCAGCCCUGUGUCCUCCAAAUGCAAGGUGACAGCUCAACCCUGUAUGCUGCCUACUGCCACCCUGAGUCAAAUCUGUACCAAUAGCAUUUCAUGUUGGAAACUUUGCACAAAUUCAUAUGCAGAUUGUAUAUAAUUGUCUGUGCUUCAAGUUUGUCAGAGGAACAAUAAUGGCAGUAACCAAGGUGGCAAACCAAGUUUAGAUGUUACUAUAAUGCUAAAAUCCCCGCAAAAGGAUACAGUACUGUGUAACCCUGCUAUCAGUCUUUUGGUGUCUUCUGCUCUGCGAUCGGUCCAACGCAUGCCCCCCCCCCCCCCCCCAACACCACCUGUGCCGUGAAGCUGGAACUCUGAUAAGGCCCUUCCUGUCACACUCCCGUCACGCUGUCAAUCACUUCACCUAAUGAAAUCAAUCUAAUGGCUGGUGCCGGCAGACUUGCAUGGCCUGUUGCCCCCAGGGACAGACCAGCACUCAUCUCCUUGAAGACUGCCUUUCAGAGGGUGUAACCACACACGCCAGUCUCCCGUGCCUCUGUGAACCGCUUCCUCGCCAGCACUGAGCGUUUCUGCAUGGAAAUUUUCUAAUAUCGAAUACCUGAGGUAUAAAUUCAAUUUAGGAUGGCUGCAAUUUGAAAGCAAUCCCACUUUCUUUCGUCAAUGUGGGCACUAGAUUGUGGGCUCAGAGUAACACAAUAAAUGGUUUUUCCUGACGCGCA
rnacentral:lncRNA from 1 species